CGGACGCGCCGCAGCGCCUGGCUUCGCCCCUGCCCGCCGCGCGCGCUGCGAGAGAUCUAGACCAAACGUCCUGCCCGCGCCUGGCAACCGGGACCAAGCCACGCCCUUAUUCUUCUACCAGUUGCAAGGUUCUUGUCUCACAGAGCCGAAGAAUGAAUCUCUCGGACACAAAAAGGUGAAGUGAAGUGAAAGCUUAUUAAGUGAAGUGAUUUGUGAUUUUGAACUCUUUUCAUAUACUAAUUGGAUAUUCAUAUGUAUUCGGUGAAGAUAGUCCUAAAGAUGUAUCCGGGCGUUCAAUGAAUCACUGCUGUGUGCUAUGAAAAUUAAUAAAAGGGAACAUGGUUCACCAUAUAGAAUCAGGAGGCCAGCAGGAGGAGCUCUCAUUCCCAGCACUGGUUAUCAAUUGCAGAUCCAACAGGAACAGAAGGACCUUGCGCAUGGAUACUAUUUUACCAUCCCAGCCACAGGAAGACAAGUUGGCAACAGAGCAGCCAAUGAGAGACAGUCACAGCUCAGCCCAUGAGAAGCCACUUCCAGCUCCCAGUUUCCUUCCAUGGACUUUUUGUUUGUAACCGCCCUCCCAACUCUCUCUUUCCUCUAUAAAAGAGAAUUUCUCCCCUUUGUUCUGGGGACUUGCCUAUGGUUUUGCUGUAGCGUGCUUGUCCCUGAAUUCUCUACUAUUCCAGAGUAAACCCAUU